rnacentral:rRNA from 2 species
UACGGAGGGGGCUAGCGUUGUUCGGAAUUACUGGGCGUAAAGCGUACGUAGGCGGCUUUUUAAGUCAGAGGUGAAAUCCCGGGGCUCAACUCCGGAACUGCCUUUGAGACUGGAUCGCUUGAACGUCGGAGAGGUGAGUGGAAUUCCGAGUGUAGAGGUGAAAUUCGUAGAUAUUCGGAAGAACACCAGUGGCGAAGGCGGCUCACUGGACGACUGUUGACGCUGAGGUACGAAAGCGUGGGGAGCAAACAGG